UAGGUCUGAACGCCCCCAAACCCUUAGAGACUCUUUCAUUCCCUUAUCUCUCUCACCCUAACUAAACCCUAGCCGCCUAGGAUUCCUCAGCCUUUCUCCACCAUUCUCCGCCGUCCGAAAAUCGCCUCACGACGGCGGACCACUCCCAAACCCAACCAAAUCACUACUUCAUACUCCUCACCUCACCCUCGUCAUCAAUCCACCAUCAAUUUUUCCCAAAACCCCACCGAAUUCCUCUAAAUUCAAAUCUAAAAAACAGAAACCCUAACUUUUUCACCUUUUUUGAUUUUUUUUUGAGUUUUCGAGACUCGAUUUGAUCAAAACCUACGCUAGUUGAUUGUUUUCAGCGAGAACGAUUGAUUAGAGUCAUUUUUGGUCUAUUUCGAAGCUCGCCCGAUUCCAACCCAGUCAACACCGACCGGCCAAACCUCGAUGCUUUCAUCGCUCGUCGAUUCAGCUUCCAGCAAAAAUCAAUUCAGUAUCAGUUCAAAAAGGCUUUACUGUAGUGUUGGUUUGUUGAAGUAUGUGGAUUUGUGUUGAGUUUGGAAUGUAAAGAGAUGGUUUAUUACUGAAUGCAUGGUUAUGGCUUGCUGAUCUGACCACCAGUUGGGUCAGAUUGGUGAACUCUAAGGCUAAAGGGUGGAUUUGGAGUUAUCUAUAGAGGGAGGUUAAGCAUAAGAUCGAUUAUGUUUUGUUCAGUUUAGUCAUAAUUAUAAACAAUCCAUGUAUAUAUGUUUAAGGAUUUAUGUCUAUUACCAUUAUUGAUAAUGAUAUUAUAAUUCGCCAGAUUUGUAAAUGUUAGAAUGUAAUCAGUUUGUUUUGCUUUAGAUCGAUUUAAAUAGUUCAGUUGUC